rnacentral:rRNA from 1 species
UGCAAGUCGCGCGAAUCCCCGCAAGGGGGGAAGCGGCGUAAGGGGCAGUAAGGCGUGGGUAACCCACCCCGGGGCCCGGGAUAGCCCGUCGAGAGACGGGGUAAUACCGGGCGACGCAACGAGCCGGCAUCGGCUGGUUGCCAAAGGUCCGCCGCCCCGGGCGGGGCCCACGUGGUAUUAGCUAGUUGGUGGGGUGACGGCCCACCAAGGCGAAGAUGCCUAGCGGGUGUGAGAGCACGACCCGCGCCACUGGCACUGAGACACUGGCCAGACACCUACGGGUGGCUGCAGUCGAGGAUCUUCGGCAAUGGGGGCAACCCUGACCGAGCGACGCCGCGUGGGCGACGAAGGCCUUCGGGUUGUAAAGCCCUGUCGAGGGGGAGGAACGCCGCAAGGCUUGACCUAUCCCUGGAGGAAGCACGGGCUAAGUUCGUGCCAGCAGCCGCG